AAUUGUUCCACCAAAGCAGUGAGCGACACAUCCGUGCAGGUAGAGUGUAAUCCGGGGUUCAAUGGCGGCUCUCCGCAGCACUUCCUGUUACAGAUGCUGGACAUCUCCACGGAGAGACAGAGCUUCAACACCAUCUCUAACCGGUCCUCGCCGUUAUUCACAGUCUCUGGGUUAACACCCGGCUUCAACUACACGUUCAGAAUGUGUUCUGGAUCCAGUGCUUUUGCGCGCACUAUCAGUUGCGGUAGACCAUUGAAAGUUAUUACAUCAGCAGCAGGGGCAGUCAACAAAAAACGAGUUUCGUCGCCGUCCGAGACCAGUACUACGCCCUACAUUAUCGGGGGCGUCGUUGGAUUUCUUGUGCUGUUGAUACUGAUAUCUGUCUUAGCUUAUUGUCUUCACAAGAAGCGAAAGGUUCGUAAAGAUGAAAAUGAUCCUCACAAAUCUCAGCCUCAAAAUCAACUAAGCAUGCCUUCUAUGCCCUCUAUCACCGACUGUUUCACGCAUGCUCAAUUCCAAAGUGUCGUCAAUUUUCCAAAGAACAAUAGUCCAUUUCAACGCCAAAGAUAGCUCUUUACCCACGGCAGGGCAGAGUGAAAAGAACAAUCAGAACUAUAAAGAAAACCUAACUUUGGAUUUCCCUGUACACAAUCGGCUAUCAGCACGACAAUCACUGCACGUCUCUCAGAUAUGAAUUACGCAUUGCAUGACUAUGAACAUUUACUUCACGUCACUUUUUUUUGUUCUUUGUGUUCUUUUUUUAAAAACAUAAUGUUCUAUUCAUAGUUCACAGAAGUCACGUAAAAAGUUGUUCAAUUCUUUAGGAGUUUCAAUCAAGUUGCUGAAGUUGUACCGCCCAAAUUGAGCUAUCACCUACGGUCAUCAUUCGUAUAUUUAUGUAUUUUUAUGAACUGUUUAUUCUACGAUGUCAUUAUUGAUUGUUUAUUGUUGUUUUGUGUUGAAUAUUUAAAUUUUAUAAUUGAAGAAUAAAAUCCUACUUUUGAC
rnacentral:misc_RNA from 1 species